CAGAGUAUAGUUUAAUCAAAAAAAAUAGUAAUUUUGGGAAUUAUUGAUAAAGAAGGUCUUUUUCUCUGA
rnacentral:tRNA from 1 species